rnacentral:rRNA from 1 species
UAUAGAAGUGUUUUCCGUGCUGGCUCAUGUACAAGUCCCUUGGAACAGGGCGUCAUAGAGGGUGAGAAUCCCGUCCUUGACAUGAACUACCAGUGCUCUGUGAUACAUUUUCAACGAGUCGAGUUGUUUGGGAAUGCAGCUCAAAAUGGGUGGUAAAUUCCAUCUAAAGCUAAAUAUUGGCGAGAGACCGAUAGCGAACAAGUACCGUGAGGGAAAGAUGAAAAGCACUUUGGAAAGAGAGUUAAACAGUAUGUGAAAUUGUUGAAAGGGAAACGAUUGAAGUCAGUCGUGCUCUUUGGAUUCAGCCGGUUCUGCCGGUGUACUUCCUUUGAGUGGGGUCAACAUCAGUUUUGAUCGCUGGAUAAAGGCUGGAGGAACGUAGUACCCUCGGGUAAACUUAUAGCCUCCUGUCACAUACAGUGGUUGGGACUGAGGAACGCAGCACGCCUUUAUGGCCGGGAUUCGUCCACGUACGUGCUUAGGAUGUUGACAUAAUGGCUUUAAACGACC